AUUACAAACUUUAUCAUCAUCCUACAUACUUGUGACUACUCAUUCUUAUUUCCUUCGGUGAUGAAUAACUUUUCUAUCAAAGAACUAUUAUAUAUAGAGAUGCUUUUCAAUUUAUUGAGAUUGCAAGCCACAGACAAUGAACAUAAAUAUGUCAAGUUCCGACAAUCUUCCAGAGUUAACUUUAUUAAGUUCUGAAACCAACCAUUUGAAGGUGGAUUGCUCCAUAUCUUGUGAAUCUUGAUUGAAAACAACUUCAAGAUUUCUAAGUUUGGAAUUUCUACCUGUAAGAAAGAACCACACACAAACCUUGUUACUCUAUUUGGAAUCAUAGGUCUUAAAAUGAUAAAUACAUAUUAUUUUAAGUUGGAAGAAAGCCAUACAUUUUCAUUAAAGAGAGAAAAUGAAGUUGUGGCAUUCUGCCCAUCCGUUGCUGGGACAAUUUCCCUGCUCAAAAAUAAGGUAUUUUGGGAA